GGAGUUGUGGCUCAGGGGUAGAGCGCUCACCUAGCACGUGCGAGGCGCUGGGUUUGAUCCUCAGCACCA
rnacentral:tRNA from 1 species